CGGAUUGCAGGCUGAAAUUCGCCUGUAUGAAGCCGGAAUUGCUAGUAAUGGCAGGUCAGCAUACUGCCGUGAAUACGUUCCCGGGCCUUGUACACACCGCCCGUCACACCAUGAGAGUUGGGGAUACCCAAAGCCCGUGAGCCAACUUUUAGAGGCAGCGGUCUAAGGUAGAAUCAAUGAUUGGGGUGAAGUCGUAACAAGGUACC
rnacentral:rRNA from 1 species